UACGAAGGGGGCUAGCGUUGCUCGGAAUCACUGGGCGUAAAGCGCACGUAGGCGGCUUUUUAAGUCAGAGGUGAAAUCCUGGAGCUCAACUCCAGAACUGCCUUUGAUACUGAGAGGCUUGAGUCCGGGAGAGGUGAGUGGAACUGCGAGUGUAGAGGUGAAAUUCGUAGAUAUUCGCAAGAACACCAGUGGCGAAGGCGGCUCACUGGCCCGAUACUGACGCUGAGGUGCGAAAGCGUGGGGAGCAAACAGG
rnacentral:rRNA from 1 species